AACAAGCCCUCCAGGUGGUUCCAAUGUUUGAUUCAGAAUGUUUGAUUCUCAGGCUUGAAAACCACUGCCCUCACUGCUCCUUCACAGCCUCCCUUAUAGCCAGCACUCUGUGUGGACAGCCUUCUAGGGAAGGUGUGAGGUCCCUGCUCCUGGACAGGGGAAGGGGUUCUGAGGCGUAGGACCCUCUGGCCAGGGAGGCCUCCUGUAAGGUCACUGGAACUGACCCUGUCGCAAUAAGAGCGAAUACUCUGUCUUCUCCAAACUCAGGGUUUCUCUUGGUGGUCAGAGGAGGCUGCUUGCUGCCUGCCGGGCCUCACCUGGGGGCUCCUGAUUAAAGCCCCAGCAGGACUUGGUUCUGUGACAGGGGCUUCCUGGGGCUCAGCUUGGCUAGAAUCUGCCUGGAGAAUGAGAGGGCCUAGAAGUUGCCCAGAAGCUUCUGGACUCAAAAGGCAAAAGGGAGUAUGUUGGUGGUCACCUAUUGCACCUGCCACUCAUGGCGGAGAAACGCCCUGCCUCCAAGCACAGCUCAACUCUGACCUCCGGGCCCCGGACCGAAGCCUUUGGCGGGAGGCUGAGCCAGCAUCUGUGGAGUUCGUCCUGUCCAGGUGUCCACCAGCCUGGCACGUGGUAUUUAGCUCCUCCCCCUCCCCCUUUUUUUUAACAGAAGAAGAAACUGAAGUUAAGGGGCGUUAAGCGACUCGCUGUAGAUGACAGCCAAGGAGAUAGAAGUGGGGGGAGGUCAAGGAGGAAGCGGCAGCUCCGGGAGGCUCAAUCCCCGCGGACCCUGGGGCCUGCGGAGCGGAGCUGUCAAGGGAGGGGCACCUGGUCCCUGCUCGCGCUGCCAGGUGGGGUCGGGGAGCGGAUGGAGAAUCGCUCCGGCAGGCAGGUUCGCUAGGCUGGUGUCGGGCGGCCAGGCUGCCCUCGGCCGGCCAGACCGCGUUUCCCUGAGCGGCCACCAGGUGGCGCCGCCCGACCGCGCGGGCCCGCUCUCCGGGGCCGGCAGGUGGUGCGUCCUCUGCUCGGCUCCCGGCCGCUCCACCUCCCCGGGCCUCCGAGGACCGGGCCUCUGGGAGCUGAUGUCUCCCGCCGUGGUCCUCCGGGAAGAGGAGCAUCAGACCACGCUCUUCCUCUGUGACUCUCUGAGAGGGGACCUCUGACUUCUGUCCUCGCCGCGGUCCCCGAGGAGGAGGCUCCUCGGACCUUCCUUCCCAGGGGUGGACACUCGGGAAGGGGCACCUCGGACCCACGUCCAUGGAGCAGCCCUCUCAAGAGGGCGCUUCGGACUCUUGUCCUCACCAUGGCCCUGCGAGAGGGGGCGCCUUGGACCACUGUCCCCUAUCCUUCAGUGCCUGAAAUGUUACCACUUGAGCCUCUUGACAGGUGGUGUCCUGUCAAUAACUCCCCCUUUCGCUCGCCUUCACCCUGGGCGCUGCCUUCUCCGAUCCAUCGGCCUCACUCCGAAGGGCAGGGCUUUUCGGCAGAGGGUCUGGAGCUUGCAAGAAAGACCUAGUAGCUUCUACAAUGUGCGUAUGCCCUGUCCCACCUGGGAUCUGCUGGGAUGGAGGCUCCGAAAGUGACACCCAAAUGGCUGUGUUGUUGGGACUGUGGGUUUGCUUUCUGUUUCUAAUGCUGCUGCCUGCUGGGUGAUUCUCACCGCGUGGGGUUGAGAACCAGGGACUAAAGGGAGAAUGCCCGAACAGGCAAGCUUUGACAGGAAGGGGCUUGGGGAGGCCCUAGGGACAGAGGGGCUGGGAGUCAGAUGACCUGGCCGAGUGCCAGUCCUGGCUCUGACCCUGCCCUGCUGAGUGACCCAGACAAGUGAGGGAUUGCUUCUGGGUCUCUCUGGAGAGGAGAGGGUUGGCCCAGGCAGCCCCUCUGGUCCUGCUGACCUCCAGGGCUUGAGCAGCUCCUGCUUUGAUGGGUGGGAAGCAGAGGUGACCUGAUCCCCUACAGCACUGGCCUGUGGGCUACCGGGUGCAUUGCUCUGACCUGGGCCUCAGCUUCGGAGGGUAACUGGCAAAGGGGAAGAAGGGAAAGAAACCAAUGUUUAGUGAGCAACUAGUAUGUGCCAGGCUCUCUGCCCACAUUACACCUUUAAACCUUUCUAGCUACAUCUGCAGGGUUCAUGGUGAUACACCCCCUGGCCCUAGCAUGGUGCUGGAGCAUAGUAGGUACUCAGUAAACAUCUGUUGGGUGAACAAAUCCCUGUGAUUGGUCUAUGGAGAAGAUAAAUGUUGGUGCUUGGGUCAUAGCUUUUGCCUCUGAAUGCUUGUGCCAGACCACUGGGGUGGGCCCUGCUCAGAACUGCUGGAACCUUCCCAAACACUGCCCCCUCCCCAAUUUGUGUGGGCCAGGCCAAACCCAGGAAGAUGGUGCUGGAAGCAAAGGAUCAGAGAUGUCCACUGACUCUGAUCAAGGCAGAGGUCCAGCCUUGCUUCCAUCAGGCGCUGAUCCCCUCCUGCCACCUCAGCCUCUGCACACACGGUGAAUAAGCUCAGGUUGGAGUCACAACGAACAAGAUCCACGCCCUGGUUUCUGCCAGGUGCUAGGACUGCCCCUGUCCAGAGAUGCCCAGACAGAAGGUGACUGACAGAAAGGGUCAAGAGCAAGGCAGUCCGAUGCCAGCUCAGAAACUUCCCCCGGAGCACCCCUCAAUGCCGUUCUGACCGGGAAGCCGCGUUGUGGCUAAGUGGUUAAGACUUUUGCCUGUGGAGACAGGCUGCCUGGCCAGCCUCGAGUCUUGGCAGUUUCUUUACCUAUCAAGUCAACACCAAAAUAGUACCACAAAAGGGUUGCCGUGAGGAACAAACAAGAGAAUCCGUGGGAAGUGCUUUAGACCCAUGCCCAGCUUUGUAAGCUCUUAAAGAAAUCCUCGCUGAACCCAUUCCCAUGAUUAGGAGGCAAACUGGCACUUUUCAGCUUUCUCCAGCACCCCCUCGUUGCCUGUGGUUGGGGGAAGGUGGUAGAUCGCGAGGUGAGAGGCUGGGACCUGGUGUGUUCAGCAUGAGCUUGCAGGACACUCUCAGCGAGCCACUGCUGAUGCUGGGGUGGUCCGGAUCUUGUGGAUCCAGGCAGUAUGGGCAGCUGGUGGGGCACCAGGUGACAUCCCAGCAUACACGGGAUGGGAGGCGUUCUUCCCCAGCUCCCUUCUUGGUACCCUGGGGUCCCUGGUAUUCUAUGUCCUUCUUUCCCAGCCUGCGCUUGUCACUUUCUUGGCUUCUGCAACACCACGCUUGCCUGAUGCUCUCCUUCUCUCAUUGUCUUUUCUGGGCCCUCCUCACUGUCUCGUGUACUUAGGGCUUACACCCUGGACCCUUCGUUUCUCUCCUGUCUCCACUCCCUCCCUUUGGCCUCAUCCACUCUGGUAGAUAUAAGCUCCAUCUCCAGUCCUAGCUGCACCCCAGAACUCCAGACCCACAACUGCUUCCCUAGCCCCUCAACUUGACAUGUCCAGGCUGGAGCUCUAAUCUCACCCUCUGGUCCUGCUCCGCCCCCUGCAGGGAGUGCAGCCCAGCCUUCCAGUUGUUCAGGCCAGAAGCCUGGGAUUGACUUGAGCUGUCUUGACUCGGUUUUCUUCUGUCUCCCACUCUGACCUGAGAGGCACAUGUACAGCUUUUCAGAAGCCCCCCAGUUUUGAGUGUACCUCCCAGAGAUUCUGAUGUGACUGUUUGCUGGUGGGGCCUGGCAUUUGUUUAUUUUAGAAGCUCCCAGGUGACUCAGGUUGCUUAUUCAUUCAUUCACUCAUUCACAAGCCUUUGUUCUGUGACCACUGUGUGCCAGGCACUAGAAGUCUAGCCCUUAAGGCGAGCACUUCUGAAGUAUAGGCACAUAGUGGGUACUCGUGUUUGCUGGGUGAAGGUGCAUCCGAUGGAGGUGGUGACCCUGACCCCUCUCCCCCUAACAGAGAACCAAUAAGAUGGCUGGGUGACAGAGGGGCUGUGCAAGUCCUCAGACUCCCCACCCACCAUAGCCCCUGUGUCCUCCCCCCACCCAGCUCCCUGGAAGCCAGGCGCACACCGCCAUGGCUGGCAGGGGGCUGUUCAGGGUCUGGCGGCCUGGGAAGCUCGGUUGUUGCCAUGGUGAUGAUGUGCGUCUGUUCAGCAGAGAACUUUGAAGUUGACUUGGAUGGGGGACAACAAAGGCGCCUCCAUCUUGGAUGCAAAUUGUGGCUUCCUUUCAUCCUCCUGGGCCCUUUCCUGCUCUGCUUUUGUUCUUGCCAUUUAGAUCAGAGAAUAAAACCCUUUCAAAUGUUGUAAAUUCAAAACAUAGGCAAUUAAGGGGCCUCUCAGAGGUUCAAGGCCCCCUUAGUCUCUUUAAGAAGCAGUUGCAUGUGUAGAAAAACAGAGAUGAUUGUGAAAAGGGAGUCAGCAUCUCCUGGAUGUUACAAUCCAACCAACAUCUACUGAGCGCCUACUGUGUGCCAGGACCCGGGAGGCACUGGGGAUCCGGUGUGGUACAGGACCCACCAAAUCUCUGUUCCUCAGAGCUUACUUUCAGGACCAUGGCUCCGUGCCUCAGUUUCCCCAGUGUACAACAAGGAGGCUGAAGUAGCCCAGGGGUUUUCAUAUGGUGUUUUCUGAAACCCAGGCGAAGGUCCCAGUCGCUUCCCCCCGUUUUGGCCUGAAGAGCUUUGCUUUGCUCUGUUUUAUGUACUCUGUUCCCUAUAAUAUUGUUUUUGAGGAAAGAAGUCCAAAACAAAAAAAAACCCCAAAAAACAAAGGAUGGGAUGGAAAUGAAAACCACUGGUCAAGGAUUCCCUAAGGCUUUUUCCAGAAGGAAUGUUCUCUCAUGUUCACCACUAAGGAAAGUGCAGAUUCCCCGGGCUGUUUGGCCACAUAGAGACUCACACACAGAAGGCAAGCUGCCUUUAGGAUGUACACCCACCUGGAUGGCUGACAUCCUGCCUUCAUUUUAAAUAAAGUAAGAAGCCUCAGACAGGGUUGGAAAGAGCAAAUCCUGUUACGUUUCUCACCCAGUAGACCCAGGGCUUCACUUCUAAGGCAUCUGUCCUUCUCAGACUCUGGACCCGCCCUCGCCCCUUCCUCAGGGAGCUUUGCCUGGCCGGCAGCCUGCAGGGCCCACGCCCUCCUCCGAGCUCCCCUGGCCCACCCUGGCCUCCACACACCCACCAGCGAGGACCUGGGGCCUGUCUUGUCUCCCCAGCGGGACCACGUGUUCUCACAGCGCGAUGUGUCCUGAAGAAAUGUAAUUCGAUGAGCAACUGGGCGCCCCGCUGGUACUGCUUGUUCUCUGGGCCCUGCCCCUCACCCUGUACCUUGCCUGGGUUGUCUCCUGAAGUGCAGGAGAGCCUGGUGGGCAGUGCGCAGAGCCACCUGCCUUCCCUCCCUCAGCAGCACCCUCCCCUCCUCCUUCCCAACAGGUGACUGAGAGACACCAGGCCUGAUUACAGCGGCGACAUGAGUCUUUCCCAAAAGCCAUUUAUACUGUCUGGGUGGGGAACCGGGAAGUAGGUCGGGGACCAUGUUUUAUUGACUAUCUCUUGUCUUGAGGAGCCACAGGAAAGCUUUAUUAACACAACCAGACAAUCUCAUUUAGGGCCAUUGCACGGCCUGGGCCCACUCGAGGUUCAAGCCGGUAUUUUACCCCGGGCUGAGUCUUCUCGUAUUGAUUUCUUUAGAAGGCAUGUUACCUUUCUCCCUGAAGGCCAAGCUGAUGCAAAGAGCAAAGAGAGAUUCUGGACUGGAGAACCACUUCUAUCAAAAAACCCUGAGCUUGGCGAAGUCGCCCCCCCUGUGUGGGGCUGUUGAAAUUGUGCUCUGUGCUUGAUCAUCGUGGGAUCCAUCCAGAGAUCAGAGGCUCCCAGGGGGCUGAGGCCGUGUCUCCCACUUCGCUCUGCACGGUUCCAGGCGCACAGUGGGCCUGCAGUAGAGACAGGAGUAGGGACUGUCUGCUGCCGGGCAUGUAGGACAGCAGCCUCUUGGCGUCAACAGCUUUGGGGAACCCCUUCCUUCUGGUGAUGUGGAGGUUAGUGUCUCCAGCAUCCCAGGGCUGCCACCCAGCCCCUCCCUCACCCUCUGGGGAACGUGAGCUGUGGGGAGCAGAGGGGAUGGAGCAUGUCAAGAUCUGCCACAGGCUGGUGAGUGGGGCACACAGUUUACAACCCACCUUCUCAUCCGGCUGCCACAGCCCAGGGAUAAGCCCCGGAAGUGGGAACUGCUACUGACACAUUUGGAGGAAAUGGCAUCUUUGCUUGUGAAUCUCAAUACAAGUGGUUUUCAUCCAGGGACACUUGGCCCCUGAGAAAUCCUCCAGCCACCAGCGAGAGGGAAGGUUUCCGUGGAGCACACACCCACACGGCCUUUUCACACAGCGUUUCCCUGAGGCUUUCGUAACUCCCCCACUCUAGAGGGGAGUGGUCCUCAUUCUCCAGAAGAGGGAGGAAGCCCUGCAGAAGGUGAUGACUGCCCACAGAUGGGCUUCCAGAAGGCGGACGGCCCGGGCGGGGCCCUAAGCAAGGCAGAUGGCGCCUGCCCCCCUAGGUGGUGGACAUCAGUCUCCCUGGCCUUCAGGGUGGCCCUCUGCCCGAGGAUCCUGUGGCAUGGCUUCCCUUGGCAGUGACUCCACGUCACUCAGGCCUGAGGCCUAACAGUUCCCCCUUCCCACUCCCCAUUCCAGUCCUCCUCGAGCCUGGGACUUUGUUCUGAGCCCUCUUCCUCCCUCCUUGCCUCCGACAAGCCCACACUGCCGCAUGUGCCCCGACAGGCGCAUUAACUUCCCAUCCCCCACUUGGGGCCUCCCACUCACCCCAGAAUACCGUAGCCAUGUGGACUUGGAUAUGGGAUUUCACCCCAUACCUGUGGUAUAUUGAUGAGCGCCCCGCCCCCACUGCACCUACCUCCCUGAGGGCAGGACAACUGGUUUGCUCAGCACUAUGUCCUCAGAGCCUAGCACAAGGCUAGGCACAUAGUGGGUGCUCAGUAAAAAUGAAUGAAUGAACAUCAGACAACACAAGAGCGGCCUUAAAUGUGUGGCCAGACUUCAGGCCACAGGAAGGCCUCCCAGAGGAGGCCACACCCCUGGUGUUAGGCUGGAAGGCUGAGCCAGGGUCUGGACCUGGGAGGACCCACUGCUCACCAAAGGAAGGACCCAGGGAUGUGAGACGGGAAGAGUCAGAACAGCCCUUGCCGGGUACCAGACUCUCUGCUAAGUUCCUUACAGCCUUUAUUCAUCGCAAACCAUCCACAGAAGGUGCUAUUACUAUCCCCAUUUUACUGGUGAGUAAACCAAGGGGCUGAGAGGCGAAGGGACUUGCCUGAGGUCAUAGAGGCAGUAAGUGGCAGAGCCAGAAAGUGAUCCAGGUCAGACAGUUUGUCUCCAGAGCUUCGCUCUAACUUGGCCAUGCAUCCAUCACAUGUAGGGCUCUUUCUUUGGGGGACCAUUGGCUUUGGCUGCAGGUCACACCGUGAAGGGGCUGAAGACCUGUUUCCUGAUGGUGGACCAUGAAUGUGCCUGUUAUUGCCAUGUCGUUAUUGUCUCCUUUCAGAAAUCAGGAAAAACACUCUUGCUGGCCACAAUUACAUGCGCCUUUGGGCCCUUGCCCAUCAGCUGUGUCCUGGGGACUGUCAGCCCCAUGUGGGCAGGGCCCUGGCCUGCCCCAUGCACUCUGCUACCCCCAGCAACACAAAGCUCCAUUCCGAAUACCGCAAAGACCAGUGGGGAUUGACAGCGAGUGAGGGGGUCAGUGGAUGGACACUCAGUAAGAGGAGAUAUCAAGA
ensembl:lncRNA